rnacentral:rRNA from 1 species
UACGGGGGGAGCGAACGUUGUUCGGAAUCACUGGGCGUAAAGGGCGCGCAGGCGGCCUCGUAAGUGGGAUGUGAAAGCCCCUGGCUCAACCAGGGAAAUGCGUCCCAUACUGCGGGGCUUGAGUGCAGAAGAGGAUGGGGGAAUUCCCGGUGUAGCGGUGAAAUGCAUUGAUAUCGGGAGGAACACCAGUGGCGAAGGCGCCCAUCUGGUCUGCUACUGACGCUCAGGCGCGAAAGCCGGGGGAGCAAACAGG